rnacentral:tRNA from 1 species
GCACCGUUCGACUUCUGGUGAGGUCACUGGGCUUUCAAUCCAGUCAGAGGAGAUCGUAACUCCUACGGUGUACCA